GACGAACGCUGGCGGCGUGCCUAAUACAUGCAAGUCGAACGCAGGGGGGACGGGUGAGUAACACGUGGGUAACCUCCCAUCAGAGGGGAUAACACUUGGAAACAGGUGCUAAACCGAUACUGAUGGUUGGACCCGCGGUGCAUUCGCGAGUUGGUGAGGUAACGGCUCACCAAGGCCACGAUGCAUAGCCGACCUGGGAGGGUGAUCUGACACACUGGGGCUGAGACACGGCCCAGACUCCUACGGUAGGCAGCAGUGGGGAAUAUUGCACAAUGGGCGCAAGCCUGAUGCAGCCAUGCCGCGUGUGUGAAGAAGGCCUUCGGGUUGUAAAGCACUUUCGGCGGGGAGGCGUUACCCGCAGAAGAAGCACCGGCUAACUCCGUGCCAGCAGCCGCGGUAAUAC
rnacentral:rRNA from 1 species